rnacentral:lncRNA from 10 species
GAUGCCUGGGGACCCCCUCUAAGCAGCAGGCCACCAGACACAAGGCAAGAAAACAUGGCUCCAUCACCACCUGCUUCGCCAUGUGCACUCGAACACCAGCAAGGCGGAGAAAGCAAAAGAUCAGCAAAGCCUGGGUGAUUUCUUAAGGAGAGUCUCAAGAAAAACACUAAUCCUGCCACACAUCAUACUUCCUAUGGCCCAAGUGCCUCUCAAAUUCCUCUAGGACUCUCCUGCCCCCUUGAAGCCCACCCCUGCAGGAGACUAGAACCACAUCAUGGAUGGCCUUGCCUUUAAUCAUAGGUCACAUGAUUACAUGUUCUUUUCUCAUGAUGAUGUCACCACCAUAAGGUGGGGUCCAACAACCAGGACAUGGGGAGGUCUCUGCUCAUCAGAUGCCCCCUGCACUCAGGUAAGAUUAAGAAAAGGUGAGGAUUCCACAGGUCGGGUUUCGCCUUUAUCUUGUCUCUCCCUCCACCGGGU